rnacentral:rRNA from 1 species
UACGGGGGGGGCAAGCGUUGUUCGGAAUUACUGGGCGUAAAGGGCUCGUAGGCGGCCAACUAAGUCAGACGUGAAAUCCCUCGGCUUAACCGGGGAACUGCGUCUGAUACUGGAUGGCUAGAGGUUGGGAGAGGGAUGCGGAAUUCCAGGUGUAGCGGUGAAAUGCGUAGAUAUCUGGAGGAGCACCGGUGGCGAAGGCGGCAUCCUGGACCAAUUCUGACGCUGAUGAGCGAAAGCCAGGGGAGCAAACGGG